CGUUUAAUCACUUACUGAAUAAAACGAAGUUGAACAUUGAUUGAUUCCUAAUUAACUGUGAUUAUACUCCAGUUGCAUAGAAACUGAAUUAUUAAAUACAACUUCUAAUUAUAUACGUCGAUUGUAAUCAUUAAUUGUAUUAUAUAUUGUUAAACUCUGAAAUAAACUCAUUUUUCUAACAAGAAAUAGAGUCGAAGGUUAAGUUAAUCCACGCGUGUUUUGUAAGUUGCUAUCAACAGAGAGGAAAGCUAAAUUUAUUAUUAGAUAUGGAAACUAUAAUUCGUAAAGCGAAACGUGAAGAUUGCAAAGAUAUAAGGAACUUAAUACAAGAACUGGCAGAUUUUGAAAAAAUGUCGGAGGGACCAAGAAUUGAUUACAAAACAUUGGAAAAAGAUGGAUUCGACACAAAACAACCCUUCUUCAUUUGCUUUGUAGCAGAAGUUAAUGAAAAAGUAAUAGGAUAUGCAAUUUCAUACUACACAUAUUCUACAUGGUGUGGGAAAGCCAUGUAUUUAGAAGAUAUAUAUGUAACUCAAAAGUAUCGAGAACAACAUAUUGGUAGUAAAUUGUUAAAAAGUGUAGCUAAGGAAGCCUUAGAUAACAAUUGCUGCAGAUUAGACUUUUCAGUCCUUGAGUGGAAUCCUGCACAAUCGUUUUAUAAAAUUAAAGGAGCGGCAGAUUUAACAGUAGAUGAAGGAUGGCAUCACUACCGUUUUUCGGAUGUAGCUUUAAAAGCUUUAGUUGCUAGUAUAUAGUUAUUAAUUUAUUUUUAUGCUCCAUAUAUGUAACAACGUAUUCAACUGUUUAUAAAUAUGUGAAAAUCAUUAAUUACUGAUUUAUAUGAAUAUUUUUGAUAUAAAAAUGAGCAAUAGGAAGUUCCCUACAUAUCUCUUCUCUUCUGCCACAUCACUGUAUGGAUCAAAUGUAAUUCAAAUUACUAUUGGAAAAGAAAAACCACAUAAGGAUCCUGUUGAAGAUGAUCAUGUUGACAGUGAUUCUGAUUUAUUGUUACAUAGUGAUAUGAGUUGGGGCUCAUUAGAAGACAGAGAUGUGCCAUAUGAAAUUUUGUAUGACAAGUCUAGUUCAUCGUCUUCUUCAAUUUCAUCUAGCUCAAGUGUAAAUAUUACUUGGUAGUUGUAUUUAAUAAAACCAAACUAAUAAUUUUCUUAUAAA